GCCGUCGUAGCUCAGUGAUAGAGCACCCCCUUGGUAAGGGGGAGGUCAGGAGUUUAAUUCUCCCCGACGGCUCCA
rnacentral:tRNA from 1 species